rnacentral:lncRNA from 1 species
AUUAUAUUUUGUUAACUACAUUGUUGAAAUAUGAGAACUGCUCUGAAAGUAAUGUCUCCUUUUUUACUUUGUCAGCCCACCACAUCAGAUGUGGAUGUCGGUAAGAUGGAAGUAGAGGUUGAACCUUUCCACCAAUAUUCCAUUACAUGCUGUUGCCAUGUGACAGAUGGCAGCAGAGGAGCAGUCUGACAGAAUGGGGUCUGACAUGGAAAUACAUAUGAAACAAAGAUGUGUCAUUGAAUUCCUCCAUGGGGAAGAAAUGAUGCCCAAUGACAUUCAUUGAUGCUUGCUGAACAUAAUGGAGACCAAACAGAAGAUGAGAGUACAGUGAGGUGGUGAGUAGUGAAACAGUGUGAAAUGGUGGGUCACCUCCGCUGGUGCAGAUAUUUGCAAGUAUAGCUCACAGACUCUUGUUCACUCCUGGUGAAAAUGUGUAGCUAAUGGUGGUGAUUAUGUUGAAAAAUAGUGUUUUGUAGCUGAGAAUUUGCUCUAUCAAAUAGUGUUGUGCUUUUUACAUCUGUUGUAGUUUCCAGAGAAAUAAAUAGGAGGCAGUACUUUUGGAGAGACCUGUGUAUAUUUUAAUAUCAACACCAAAGCAUGAUGAAAGACAAUCUUAAGACUCCCAUUUACUGUUAUUCAUUUUGAGGCAGCUUCUAACACCACCAACAGCAAUUUCAUAAAGUUUUCAGGUUGAUUUGAAGAGUAUGUUUCCUUUAAAUACAGCCUAUCUUACAAACUACAAGGACAAAUUCAUAUACAGGUACUUAGCUGUUUCUGCUGGACUGUGGACUCCCUGGAAUGUAGCAACGUCCUGUGAAGGUGAUAGCCAGUUGUUAGAAGGUAUUUGGCUUUUCUGCUGCUAUAACCAUGACUGCUUCUUUGCUACUUUUCCAUUGUCUAAUCAGCAGAGAAUUGUUAACAGGUUGUACAAUUUCUGUGCAAGAAAGUUCACGUGGAUCUAAAUAAAUCAAAGUGCCCUCUGUUAUAAGUGAAUCAAAAUCAAGCCUCUUGUUAAGUAAAAAAUGUUUUUGCAUUUCUUUGUCCAUUUUCUUUAAUCUUUCUUAUAUCCUUCACUCUGACACUGCCUGACUUGUUCUGUGAUCUCAGUCAAGCUAAAAGGUAAUGCUCUUUUCUCAUUCUUUUACUUCAGAAACAUUUUCUUAGUAAACUGUACUCUUGUCUCUGUGUGCUAUGUUAUCUUGUACCUUUCAAUACUCCUUUUCGUUUCUUGUCUUGGAUGGAGGGCCUAAUAGGUUCUGUGCCAGAUGCCAAAAUAAUCACUGCACCCACAUCAUAAUCUUUCCUG